rnacentral:lncRNA from 1 species
UUUAGAACAUGGGGCAGGUUAUAAGACAACAUUUGUAAUUUAUAAUUAGUGCGAAAACGAGGUAUAUUCCAUGUAUUAGUAGUUCUUGUGUUUAUGUUGGCACGACGCAUGUCCAAAGAUGCCAGAGUAGAAUAAAAAUCGGCAACGGAUGCCGUCGAAAAAUACAUUCUUUGUAACAACUUAAAGUUAUACAAAUGAUUGACUCGGACAAUGUUAUGUGCUUCAAAUGCAUACUUGGAAGUAGUUGUAUUAUCAACAUUGGCGAUUAUGUGAACAAUUUUCUUUUGCAAUACGAGAACUUUAUUUAUGUUUGUUUUGGUCAUUGUGGCCCAUACUAAACUGCACCUUGUACAUCGCUUC